rnacentral:lncRNA from 1 species
UCUUCCGACCUGAAUCGGUUUCUCCGAUCGGAUGCCGAUGAGAUUCCCGCCAGCCUCAGACAAUUGGCCAAGAUCGCCCGGUCGGAAGAGUUCUCCGGGUCGGUCUCUAGGGUUUCGGAAGCUGUCGCGGUCGGUAUGGUUCGAGGGUUCAGUUCCGCCUCGAACCACGGAGAAAAGAACGAGUCCGCGUUGAGUAGCUUCUCCGACCGCUUCUUUGAGAAGCUGUUCUCCCCCGCGGGUUCUGGAUUCGCUUCCGUGGUGGUCGGCAGCUUCGCGAGGAACUUGGUGAUAGGCUUCUAUUCCAAAGGAGAGGCUGGUGGUGAUGAAUCGGUUGAUCGGGCGGACAAGGCAGCUGUCCCAGAGUGGUUCCGUUUGCUUUCCUGUGAUGAUUCUAGGAAGCUCAUUGCGGAUUUCAUUCAGCGAUUCGUGAGCACUGCUGUCACAGUCUACCUUGAGAAGACGAUGACGAUAAAUGCCUACGAUCAGAUCUUCUCCGGCUUUACGAACCCCAAGCACGAGGCGAAGGUGAAGGAUAUCUUGGUUUCGGUUUGCAACGGGGCUGUUGAAACCCUGGUCAGUACUUCCCAUCGAGUGAUGACCAAUCGAGGCCUAUCGACCCCCUCGGUGGACAGAGCAGGUGGUGUUGCACAGGAAGGGGAAUGGGAUAAAAAUUAUCGCGACAAAACCAGUUCCUUGGAUGAGAAUGAAGCUAACAGCAGUGCUGGCUGGGUCGACCGAGUCUCUUCGACAUUAGCAGUUCCCAGUAACAGGAGGCUGGUUCUCGAUGUCACAGGCAGAGUGACAUUUGAGACUGUGAGGUCUUUUCUUGAUUUCCUAUCAUGGAAAUUGUGUGAUUCUGCCAGGAGAGGUGUUAAGGUUGCUCGCGAGGAAGUGGUGGAAAGGGCUGUUGAGGUUGUGAGGUAUGUCAGUGCCAAAUCGAUGGCCUUAUUCACUAUAUGUCUCACCUUGUGCUUGCAGUUAUGUGUUGGAACAAGACUCUUGACACCGGUUUAAGUUUCUUGUGAUUGUAACAUCAUUUUAGCCUAUGUAACUGAAGCAUGUAAGGAUCACUGCUCUAAUAAUGCUUGCAAACAGAACAUGUUUCUAUAAAAAAAAAAAUGAUAUUGAUAUGGUUUUUUUCGCUGCAGUUCAUGACAUUUCUCUUACCAAAAUUGUUGGUCAUUAUAUCAAAGAGUUUCUUUGUUGGUAUUCUGCAUUAGAUCAUAAUAGCUUGAAAGAUUUUCACCUCCUAAUAUAGUUAUACGGUGUACCAACAGAAGGAAAGCUUUCUCCUGUUUUACUCCAUAAAUAUACAGUUGUUAGUUAUUGUGCUUGCUGGGAGUUUGCAUUGGAACUGUUUGCAUUCUUAAGAAAAAUUUAUGCAAAAGUGAUGGUAAGGUAUUCAACAAAAUAUAAUUUUGUAUCCUUUUUCUAUUAUAUUUUUGUGGAUUUCUAGGUUUGCUGCAUUAUAUAAGAGCCUUAUUUUCUUUUGGUAGUCUGUUCUUAUAGUAUUUCAACUUUCCAUGAGGAAGCAGCAACUUCCGAGUUAGCUUGGUUCUGUUGUUGAUUUAACUUUAGUUUAUAUGCGUUUCUGUUUGAUUUAUUUUUAACAAGGCUGGGAUAGCCUCUGUCCGCUUCUGAAAAAUCAUAUCAAGCAACUGACUCUGCAAACUUAUAUUCGAAGAGUUUGCAUAAAGUAAUAGAGUCUGAACAAUUUUUGUUGCCCAAUAAUCUCCUCUCUUAAGUUUUAUUUUUGGAAAUUUGAAAUUAUAAGAGUUUUAUUUGUCUAUAUGUUGCAACAUGUUUGAAUUAUUUCUUUGUAAUUAGCAGGAUGUUCUCUUUUCUAUUGGUUUGUGCUAUGGCAAUGCUUAACUAAGGAGAGUCAUGUGCAAAUUGAUUCUGUCAUAUCAGCUGCCUGCUUGGUUUACUUCCAUUAGAUACUCCAUAUGCAAGAAGUGGUGAUCUGUAUGGGGGAAUCAUUAAGAAGUGUGACCGGUAUGAUGGUGUCAUUUUUUUCUUCUUUUGCUUUAUGUAUUUUGCAUUAUGCUGCCAUGUGCUCUUUUUUCAUUAUUUUUUUCUUUUGGACCAAUUCUCAAUAGUUUUGGUUGUUUUUUCUUGAUUGUCAACAGUGUUUUUUUGGGGUCAAUUCUUUCUAGUUUUGGUUGGUUUUUCUUGAUCGACAACAGUGUUUUUUGUGGGGUCAAUUCUUUCUAGUUUUGGUUGGUUUUUCUUUACUGUCAAUGGCGUGUCAUAAUUUAUCAGAAGGAACUAUCUUGAAUAUAAACAGUUAAAAGUGUUCACAUCUUCACUUUGAUAAUGAACUGCAAGUCCAUUAAACUCAUGUUAGCUCAGAUGCUUUUGGUAUCCAUUUUUAGUAGAAAUACACUCAUCUCUGUGUUAUAACUCAUGGGUGCCCCGGAUGAUAGAAAAUCCUGCCACAAUACCGAAGAAAAGAUAUGUGUUGGUAAAGCAUGGUUAUUUUUUCGAUAUAGCGUGCCAUUCUUUUCGGUCGGCUGUCAUGUGCCACUUGCUAUUAGUUUAACGAUGCUUGCAACAUAUUUUCUGCUCGUGUAUACGAUACCAAGUUCUUUUUCUGAUCGGUCUCAUUGGUCUUGGAACUCUCUUAUGUUCUGCUUAAGAGAGUGAUUGAUUAUUCAAGAGCCGUGUAAAAGUUUCAGAGGUCAGUGAUGGCAGGUUAUAAUUAUGUUGAAUUGAUUUUGAUGAUUUAUACACAGAGAAGCACAUUACUCUCAGAAACCUUUGAGAACAAUGAAGUAGACUACUGUAAAGAGAAGGAUGACUUUGCUAUGAGGAAGUCUUUGAGUUUUGGUGUGAUUCAGCAAGGAGAAUGCCACAUUCUUCUCUCAAUCAGUCCCACUCCUCUUUAGGAGAUCGAAGAUUCUGAAGCUAAUGAUUUGAAGUUUGUAGGCUUCUUUCUCUGUACAACCUCCUCUUUCCAAGGGAAGAACAAAUCCUUUGCAGGCCAGCUCCUAAACUCAUGGUAGAAGGGACUGGGAGAGAUGACUUGCAAGUGACAAGAAUGGACUCCACUCCUAAAGGCGUGAUCCGAUUUGAUGAGUUAAUUGAUCGUCCUCUAAUCCUCUCUGCUACCACAAGCCAAAUCAUUGUUACAUAAGUAAAGCACAAUCACUUCUAAGGACAAUCUUCUUGUCAUCUGUGGAAGCAGUGUGGAAUGUAAAAUAGAGAGGUGAGGCUGCCUGUUCACAGCAGCAGAAACACAAUUUAGGGAGACGUCCAAAGACAGCAGCAGCCAAAUCAGUUCAACAGACAAAAAACAAAAGAAGACAAACCGUGAAGCAUUCUUCUCAAAGUUCAGAUAUCUGUAGGGAGAAAAUGUAUGUUUUGCCUUUUCAUCUGUAAGCAAAGAGAUGCAGUCCAUGGCCUCCCAAGUGCGGGUUAUAUUUCCUAAGUGGCAGUGGGAGCGGCAGCGAUGGAAGAAAAGGUGUAACAUGGGAUUCCACUGUGGUGGGAGAUUGCGAGCUAAUCAGAUUCGACUUUGUGCAGCCACAAGGUCGAAAAAUUCUCUGAGAAUCUUGCUGUCCUCUACAGGAAAUCCUGCCGCUUCCAAAUUGUUGGAAUCAACAAAUAGAUUCCUGAAGAUAUCUUUCUCGAACUUUACGAUGGUGAGCAGUAUCGAGGAUGCAAAUGAUGUAUAAUGAGAACCAUUAUUCCGAGGCAUGGCAGAAAAGUCAUGGUUGAAGUACUCGGCAAAUCUAAAGGUUGGAUUCUCCGAGUACUUCAUCAGGAUUGAAUCUGAUUCCCUCUCUUUGUUUUGGCACUCAGAUUUAAUGAUGCUGAAGAUUCAGUAACAGGUAGCCGCAUAACAAACACCGGGCAGUUUAAGCUCAAACUGAAGUCUUCCAGAGCUGUUUGUGGAGACUGGAUGAUAUCAUACACAAACAAAACAACAGAUGAACAACACCAACUACAGAGCUAAGACUUAUGGUUCCAAGUUCUUGCUUAGCAAAACCACCACUGGUUACCAACAAGCAUCUCUCUCAUUGUCUUUCUGAUGUCUUCUUCUUCUUGCACUUAAUUCGGAAGGUCACAACAAGCAUCUCUCACAACGUCGAGCCGAGGAGGCCACUGCACAGGCUGCCAGUGCUAUCAUGAGUCUUGGAGUUCUCUGCGCUGGGGCUGCUUCCAGUGCUGUUAGACAGGGAACCGAACGAAGUUUUAUGUAGGACGCCGGUUGGUGAAGAUUCCAACCUUGAGUCCCAGCCUUCGGUCAAGAGGUUCAGAGAUGAUGAUGAGUGGUUCUUGCUUUGGUCCUUGGGGGUGCUCUUGGUGCUGGUCAGAACCUCCCCUAGUGGCCCAGCCAUGGAAGCCUCCCAGGGGAUCGGCCUCCAAUUAGCUUGUCGUGAUGGCAUAUGGAUGGCAUCAUAUUCCCUCGAUAACUUUGAAAGCGCCGGUUUGUCAUGAUUACAUGAGGAAGAUGAGAAAUCAGAGUAAGCCGUUGGGAUGGAGAUAGAGAGUUGGGUUCUAUCUGAUUGUGUUUUGUCUACCUCAGGCCAGGUGAUAGUUGAACGAUCGGACUGGGUUUUGGGCCAGUCGUCGAUGAAGUGUCGAAAGGGAUGGGAUUGGAUCUGCUGUUCAUUGAGCUUUGGGGUGGCCAUGAAAUUGACGUUAUUGGAGAAUGAGAUGCUUGGAGGGUUCAAAAGUGAAUCAGGUGAAACGAGACCAAAUUCUGUUCGAGAUGAUGUCUCCUCAAAGGGAUUGUGUUGAUCUGAGACCGGAGGAAGUAUGUCGCUAUCGGGCUUCUGGUUUACAGGACUUGCCGCGGACAGGCUUUUUGAAUUCAGCGAACAAACAUUAUGAUCUCCUUUGCUCAUCAGCAGCCUGCAGAAUUACACAUAUCAGGGAUCCAUUGACAAAAAAAAAAAGGAAGAAUCAGGACAUCUUUACCAAAAUAACUUUAUCAAAAUACAUGUUGACAAAUUAUGAGAUGGCAAGAUCCAGAAAUAAAUAUCACAGCAUGCUGCUUUACAUAAAGCACAAAGGCAUUGAAGUCAUGGAAAUUGUGAACUUAUGCAAGAAGCAAACAUAACGAAUGCUGCUUUACAUAAAGCACAAAGGCAUUGAAGUCAUGACUUAUGCAAGAAGAGAACAUAACGAAGACUUGAUCCAAUUUUUGGCAUUUGCAGGUAAAUUUCAGAACUACCUAGGACAUCUUUUUAUCAGAGUCUACAGAAUCCAGCAUUCGUUUUUCAUGUUUAAAGAUUGCAUGUUUUCAUAACAUUCUUUUUAUCACAAUCAAGUCAUUCAGAAGUUUGCAUUACAUUGUUCAGUAUUAACAAGUUUUCAACUCAACUAUAUCUAUCGUCAAAGAUUAGAUUCAAAAGUACCUCUCAUUUUAUACAAUAUGUACUAUGCACAUGCUUAUUCACAAAUUCCAGAUGAAAUUGUUCACAUAUAGCAGUUUUUCUACGAUUAGCAUUAUUAUACUCAUUAACCCGUUAACUCCAUCGUCGAUCACAUCAUGUCAAUGGAAUUAUCUCAAAGUGUUAAGUCAGUCUAAUUUAUUCAUUGAAAGAGAAAGUAAAUCUAACCAUCGGCUGCAUCCUACCCAUUGAACUGCAGAGGGCAAGGAUCAGUGAUAUUUGACUGCAAGCUUUUACUCUGCUGCAGUGAGAUGGUGAGGGUAUUAGUUGAAGCUCCACCAAGAACAGCUGAAGCUGAUUGGGAAGAUGCAGUGGUGGGCAUCGCCUUUGCGGCAUUGCCAGUCUGGUUUUCCACAUGCUUUCUUGAACGAUGGCGGCCGCGGUUCAUGUGUCGCUCACAGUACUUCUGGUCAGCAACCGCGUCCCUCGAACACCGCCAUUUCUUGCCGUCAGUCCGACGGCACCUACCAGGCUCCGGAUCAGCAUUUCCAGAAUAACCUAGAUGGAAUGGUUCCCAUCCUACUGCAACAACAAAGGAAAGAAAUGCCAUGAAAAAUCAACAGCAACAUAGCAAAAUUACUGAAGUGCACACAACAGUGUCUGGUUGUUCACCUUUGCUUUCUGCAUAAAAACAAACCUUCCAUCAAGAUCACCAGAUUUACCAUGGCAAAGUAAAAGGAAAAGGAAAAGCAAAGCAGAAAAGAACUUCUCAAAGUGCAUUAACGCUUGCAAAGUUCAUGUCUUGAUGUGUAUUAGGAUGAGGAAUCCAAAGAACUGCUUCAAAGAUUGUGCAUAUCUACAACAACAGCAACUUUCACCUUAUUUUCUACCGAAUAAAGAUGUCAGAAAGCUAAUGAAGGUCUUUAAUGCCGAAAAGAUGAUCUUACAUGAGAAGAUGCAAAGCAUAAUUACAGUCAGAAGGAAGCAUACAUGCAUCGAGUUAAUGGAACGAUGGCAAUAAAAUCUAUUGUGGAUGCUCAUGUACUUUGUUUCUUUCCCAGAAAGUGAAGGGUCCAACAAGCACCUGAACCGAAAGAUCCAGCUGACAAGGGAGGGAAUCCGGAAGCACCGAGGCUUCUCCUGAUGGGAAUGAGCAGAGUGGCCGGUAUGGGCACAUUGGCAACCAGGUACUUGUAGAUCAAAGCCUGGUGUUCCAGCUCCAGCCACUGAGAUGGAGUGAAGGGUCCCCUCAAUCUCGCCAGAACACCUUGCAUGCUCGCAUUAGAGCUUCCAGGAGACGAGCCUGAAACAGGAAAGACAAAGGUGACAAAUAAAUCUGAAGAAAGGACGAGCCGACCAUAACAGAUGAGACGAACGGAGAAGGAUUAGGAGGAGCACAUGAACAAGCUCUUGAGAAUAGAUUCACAGAACCACUUAAAGAAGAAUAGACAAGUUGCAUAGAUAUCAGAAAAAUGUCAUAUUUUCCCUCUUUUUUGCUAUCAUGUUUCGUUGAGAGAGAUAUCAAGGGGUGAUAAAGGUCGGGGGAAAGGGAUCAGCAGCGAAUAACAGGGAAUGAAGGCUGCUUUCUUCGAUGAGAAGAAAGAAAGAGCCAUCGCUUCCAAAACGGCAUCUUGGAUGACAAGACCCAACCAGCACGCAGAAAGAAGCAAGAAGCCAACUUUUUCCUCGACAAGACUGAAACCCCUUGUGAAGAGAGACGGAUACCGACCGCUCUGAAUCAAACAACCAACAGAUACAAGAAGCUUAAUAGUUCCAUCAAUCUCUCUUCAGCAGCCUGCAUUUGUUGCGGGUUACCUGCAUUCCCAAUAUAACAUUGUGUCGUAGAAGGCGGUGACGCUGAGGAGAAGCUGAGCAUCUGCUCUCCAUCAGGAAAGAGGGGAUGGGAGUUGGAUCUGAGGAGGAAAGGAGCUGCCUUUGUGGGUGCUGUUACCAACUCCUCAGGUCUGGCCAUCUUCAGGGACCUCCAGUCGCAGUCCUCAGGUUCAGCAGCAGGCCUAUCAUGCUUUUGCAAGAUGGAUCCACGGAGGCCUCCUUGCCUGCCGAGUUCAGUGUCUGAGGGGGCCAAAGAGGUGGUGAAGGAGGAGGAGAAGAGGCUACCACCACCUUCGGAAGACGCGCCCACUAGAGCAUCCAUGCCCAGCACCCCACCGAAGUCCAUCUCCUCCACCACUGGCUGAGCCCACUUUUAUGUGACCAGAGAAGACAUGGAAGGGGAGUUGGGUUCAUGAGAGGUGAGGGUGAGGGUGAGGGAGGAAGAGGAGAAGAAUGGGAGUAGAAAGGCAAGCAUUUUUUAGGUGGGAGCUUGAAAAAGGAAGAGUGAUGUUUUUAUGGUUUGGAGUGGAGCUCAGAAAACCAGGCUGGUUUUCUUUUCUGGAGGGGUGGUGAGAGUAUGAGCUUUUGGGGGAAGAGGAGAGGAGAGAGAGAUGUACACUACCAAAUGCACAGUGUCUUGGACAUGCAAAAGAAUGAGUGAUGUACUAAGGAUCAAUCUGUAAUAUCUUGGAGAGGAAUGUAUGAUUAUUCUGAACAAUAACCAAGUAAUAGUUUAAAAAAAAAAAAUUAAAUGGUAAUAAAAAAAUUUAUUAAGUAAGACUUUGAAUCCUAAUUUUUGAUAAGUAGGUUUGGUCUACUAUCACUAGACCUUAAUUAUAAUAAUUUUAAGUGUUUUAGUGAUAUGAAAAAAAAAAAAAAUAUAUAUAUAUAUAUAUAUAUAUAUAUGAUUUUGCAAUAUCUCAGUUGUUACAACCAAGUUUAGGAUGUGGCUGUAGCUGAACAAAAAUGUGUUGCCAUGUGAUUUCCAAAUAUAAAUAAAUAAAUAAUAUAUAUAUAGCAUAUCACAACACUACAAAAUUAUAAUAUCACCCCCAAAAUACCAAGCUUCCAUAUAUGUCAUCAUCCUUAUCCAUUCAAUGCAUGAUAAAAUUAGGUUUCUUUAAAUUAAAAAGCUAUACAAUAUAACAUAUCUAAAGUAUGCCUGAUAUUACAAUGAGGUUUAAAACAUAAAGUAAAUUGCACUUUCAUCUAUAUAACAAUGAGGUUUAAAACAUAAAGUAAAUUGCACUUUCAUCUAUAUAUAUAUAUACACCGCGUGAGAGGGCUCGGGGUAUGGCUUAAUGUCUUUCGUUGGCUAGGUUGGCUGUCGUGCUGGGAUCGGUGAUUCAGUCGUCGGUUGAUCAGGAGCUUCUAUUGGUCGAGCGACAUAACUCAAGGACUGGGCUUGCAGAGCUACAUUAUUUGGGCACUAGAUUGACCGAGUUACAUUACUUGGGGGCAAGACUGACCGAGACAUGACUCGGACAUUGGACUGGCUGUGAGGCGUGGCUUGGGCAUCAAAAUGGUCGAGCAGCAUCACUCGGGCCCAUGUUUGGUCGAGCAACUUCUAGAAUCUUGACAUAACCGAGAAGCGACUUGUUGCACAUGACUAACUCGAGCAGCGACUUGUUGUACAUGACUGAACCGAGCUACGCUGGUCGAGCACUGGCAUGGCCGAGCAGCAUCACUCGGGCCCAUGUUUGGUCGAGCAACUGCUCGAAUCUUGACUGAACUGAGCAGCGUUGCUCAAGCAGCGCUGCUCAUGCUCUGGUUUAGCAUCACUCGGGCCCAUGUUUGGCCAAGCAAUUGCUCGGACAUUGAAUGAACUAAGCAGAGAAUGAUUGCGCAUGAUUAGCCGAGCAACACUACUCGAGCACUAGGGAUUGGACUGGUCGAGCAAUGUAGCUCGAGCAUUGGCUUAGCCGAGCAACAAUACUCGGGCCCAUGUUUGGCCGAGCAGCUGCUCGGACAUUGAAUGAACUGAGCAGAGAAUGAUUACACAUGACUGGCCGAGCAAUACUACUCGGGCCCAUGUUUGGCCAAGCAUCUGCUCAGACAUUGAAUGAACUGAGCAGAGACUAAUUGCACAUGAUUGGCCAAGCAACACUACUCGGGCACUAGGGAUUGGACUGGCCGAGCAACGUAGCUCGAGCAUUAGCUUGGCCGAGCAACACCACUCAGGCCCAUGUUUGGCCGAGCAGCUACUCAGACAUUGAAUGAACUGAGCAGAGACUUAUUGCACAUGACUGGCCGAGCAACGUAGCUAGAGCAUUGGCUUUGCCGAGCAAAACUACUCGGGCCCAUGUUUGGCCGAGCAACUGCUCGGACAUUGAAUGAAUUGAGCGGAGAUUGAUUGCACAUGACUGGUCGAGCAACACUACUCGGGCACUGGGGACUGGACUGACCGUACAAUGUAGCUCGAGUUUUGGCUUGGCCAAGCAACACUACUUGGGCUCCUGUUUGGCCAAGCAGCUACUCAGACAUUGAAUGAACUGAGCAGAGACUAAUUGCACAUGACUGGCCGAGCAACACUACUCGAGCAUUGGGGAUUAGACUAGCCAAGCAACGUAGCUCUAGCAUUGGCUUAACAUCUUGGGAAACACCUCCCUCUCUCUCUCUCUCUCUCUCUCUCUCUCUCUCUCUCUCUUUGAUCUGCACAUCUUGGGCUCUUCUUCUGGCCUUACCAUGGCGGGCUUUCUUCUUUCCCCGAUCUGCUCACAUGGGUAGUUCUUGGCGGGGCCUCUUGUGCGACUCCUCUCACUUUCUUGCCACUAGUGCCUCUGUAGCAACAUACUGGUCGGCCCGUUGGAGCAUCUUGGGAAUGAUCGCUGGUGGUCUCUCGACCAGCGACCAAAAGAACCUUGAAGGUCGUAAGCCUGUCAAGAAUGCUUGCAUGACCAAAGAGGGGUGGGCAUCUGGAACCCCUCGGAUCUCAGUAGCAAAGCGGGCAACGAAGAGGGAGAGAGAUUCAUCCGCCUUAGCCCGAGGAGCAUGGCCGCAGACUAUUUAGGUUGCGUGCUGGCUAAGAAGUGAAGCUCAAGUUCCCUUGCAAGCUGAUCAAAAGACGAGACUGAUGAUGGCCUCAAUCAUCUAUACCACAUCCAAGCUGGGCCUCGGAGGGUGGUAGGAAAUGCCUGACACAUCAGGGCAUCAAAAGUGCCAUAUAGGGCCAUGUGGGCCCAGAAGGUGGCGACAUGCUUCGCUGGAUCGGAGCCACCAUCAUAGGCCUUCAUCGUUGGGAGGUGAAAGUUGAGGGGGAUAGGUCUGUCCUGAAUUUCUUGGGAAAAAAGAGACUCGAUCAUGGUACUUUACUCGAGCUCCUCUUUGGAUUUAUGGUCUACAUCAUCCCAACUAAAGCUUGCACAUGACAGAUGAGAUUGAGGAAUACCUCGGCUGAGAUUGCAGGUUGCCCCAUGAUGGUCUCGAGAGGCGACAACUCGAGAUCAUUGAAUAGCCGCCAAUAGCGACUCCGGGUCACGACCGAGAUAUUCCCUUAUAUGCUCGGAGGAAGUGAGAGUUGCCCUCCAAACCCAAAGGUCGGGUGAGUCGGGGGUGGCUCUUCUCUGGGGAGCUCUCUCAGGUUGCUCGGUUAGGGGUGCCCUUACGACAUCGAGCCCUCUUUCUAGUGCCAAAAUGUUGGUAAACCUUUAUGCAGUGGCCGAGGUGUCAGCAUGGCUCAGUCUAGUCCUUAAUGUACAAGGUCGCCCGUGUGGGUGCUCGGGUGGUGAGCGAGCAUCGAGUUGGGUUCGAGCCUCGUCCUUCGAGCAUGGUUUUCUCUCUUGACGAGUGGCCUGCUUCUUUAUCGUCGGGCUCCUGCACAUAGGUCGAGGUCGGGAGGGGAAUUUUCCGACUCCACCCCUUAGAAGCUCAAGUUAAUAGUAUGUAUGAAAGGGUUGAGAGUUCGAAAAAUAUCCCCCCUUCCUGAUUAGGGAGGGUUGGAUUUUAUACAUGCGAGGAUAAGUUGGUCGUACGGGGUCAAUUUACUACGAUCGGCUCCUCGGGUGGUCGACUUAAGCUUUUGUACAAGCGCCAACUAACCUGCACGGAUCGACGUCGCGUGGCGUUGCCCCGAGCUUUCCGGAGUGGCUGUACUAUGAUGAUGUUAUUGGUACGGAGGGGGCGACAAGCGACUAUCCGUCACGUGUGUACUUUACAUCACAUCGUACUUGAGGUUUCACGUCUGCAUCGUCAUGUCUAUUUGACUGGGUCCACAUGGGCGAUGCCAAAAUACGCCCUAUUAAAUGCCCUAAGUGCAAUGUAUCAUAGGGUAACACAUUAAGCUUCAUAUACAUAGCUUGUGAAACCUUUAGCUCAAGUGGCAUGGCAACCAACACAACUAGCUUCUUUAAGAGCUAUAUGUACGUUGGCACAACAAAGAAGAGAACAAAAGAGAAGUCAUGCAAAUGAGCUUUGGAGUUGCUUCACGCUUGCCUAGGAAGACAUGAUGAUGCCAUCCACACUCUUCAUGUCUCGAGAUCGACAAGUCAAGGACUUCCCACAUCUUAUUUCCUUCUAUGGUGGAUGCCUAGAUGGUGUGUCGCCUCUCUCUCUCUCUCUCUCUCUCUCUCUCUCUCUCACACUCUCAUAUCAAGGUAAUGUGCAUGCGUUGGCUCACAUGUAAUGGUUAGAAAUGUUUAUUAGUUUAGUGAUUAACUACGAAUCCUUAAUAUAAUAUAGAAUAUGAAAAGCAUCAUUGCAUGUUCUUAGUAUUGGAUUUCGUAAAAUAAAUACACUAUAUGGAUGAAGUAAUCCUUACCAUCCAAAUUACUGACAGAAUUAUUAUUAUUAUUAUGGAAUCUUUUUUAGUUAAAAUGCCUUUUCUCUUUUUGCUUUUGAAAUUAUCAACCUAACUUUAGUUAGUUAAGAAUGAGCCAAGUUAUAGGCCCAAUAUAAUCCGGUCCAUGUUAAACACAACUAGAAUAAGAUGGGCCCAUAAGGCCCAUUAAUAUACUCGCGGCUUCUCCCGCCUUCGAGACGCUUCUCAAUGUCCCGAGUCGCCCUCAACACUCCACUCCAAUGUAAAUGGCUGCCUCUCCACCCUCCAAAUCCGCUCAUUAGAGCUUCCUCCACUCGUUGCCUCCCAUGGCGUCUGCCCUUCUCCUCCUCCCCCCAUCCUUGGCUUUCGCCUCUUCCCCUUUCUCCUUCCACCCCAAGAUCCAAUGUUGGCACCAAAGCCCUCGCCUCCUUUCCCCCCCGCGCAGGGUCCCUCUGAGAACCCCCCCAAAAUUCUCAGCCCGGGAUCAAGAAGAGAAAGCUAAUCCGCCGUCCUCAUCCGUCGCCGUGGUCCCCGAUGAGGGGGAUGGCGAUGACCGGUCGCCCGCCUCCGAGGGCGUCGCGGGAGACGGAGGAGAGUCGGACGAGGAGGCCCAGAAGCAGCAGCAAGAAGUGGACUGGAAGACGGACGAAGAGUUCAAGAAGUUCAUGGGCAACCCCUCGAUCGAGGCCGCGAUCAAGCUCGAGAAGAAGCGGGCCGACAGGAAGCUCAAGGAGCUCGACCGGCAAUCUGAUGUCAAUCCUGUCACUGCCUUCUUCAAGAACGUACUCAGGGAUAGCUUAACCAGAGAGAAGGAGAGGUUGGAGAAGGCGGAGGAGGCGUUCAAGGCUCUGGAUCUCAACAAGGUAAAUUCGACUCCCCAAAGAAGAACACGCCUUCAUCAAAUUUACUGCCUUUAAGUAUAAUAGUUUCAAGGAGCAAAAAGAAAGACAUCUUGAACUCGAAUUCUGUAUUUCCAGCUGAAGAGUUGCUUCGGAUACGAUACAUUCUUUGCUGUCGAUGUUAGGAGGUUUGGCGAUGGGGGUAUUUUUAUUGGAAAUUUGAGAAAACCUAUCGAAGAAGUCCUGCCAAAAUUGGAAAAGAAGCUCUCCGAGGCAGCUGGACGAGAAGUUGUGCUGUGGUUCAUGGAGGAGACGAAAGAUGAUAUAACCAAGCAGGUAUAAUGAACUCAGCCACAAUUUAGUCUUUGUUUGUUUGCACAUUAAUAUUACUUGUUACAUGCUUAGAUGAUUAAAGUAGCUCUUGCGCUUCCUUUAUUGCAUGCAUAUAUGUAAACGUUUGAGAAAUUUUGCUGUUAAAUUUUUCUACAUUGUUAAUGUCACCGAGCUUUACUUUCCUCUAAUAUCCAAUUGUGGUCGUUCGCUGAUGAUUGCCUUAAACUGACGUAUGAAACCUGGUUAUAUUGAACACUUCCUUCAUAAAUGAAUCCUUUAAAGUUGAUGCAACAUACUCUAAGGUAAAGCUUUGAUUUAGUGGUCAUAGUUCCUCGCAGAAGGUUUAACGAUCUGGGCUCCAUUUGUAAAAUGGCUCGGUGGAAUAGACAUUCUAGUGAAGAUGCCAACUGCCUGCCUCUAGAUAGAAAUACCCUAAUAACAGUAAUGUCAAGGGUGUCAUGUAGGCCUACAAAUCCAUCUUUCUAGUUUAAUUAGUUCAAGAGUUGACAGCAACAAUGAUGAACUUACAGAAAUUGAUUAUCGAGAAUACCAGAUUGGAAGUCUGUUUUCUCAUGUUGUUCUUGGUAAUAUCAGGUCUAUCACAAUAUUUCUAUUAGGUUUAUAGGAUUCAAACUAACAAAUAUUUGUCUCGAUAACCAUACAUGUCUGCCCUAUACACUUUCUCACCUAUCUAUGUUUCAUUCGACAUUUAUGCCAUAUGCUUCAUAAGUUGUACUAAGCGACUUGCUGCGGUAAAAGCAACACUACUGGAGAAAUUUGCAGUAAGCAAGCACAUGAAGCAGGAAUAUAACUAUUCAAGGGAACAUGAGAUGAUUGUAGCAGCCCUCUCACCGAAAUUUCUUGUUUUUAUUUUCGUAGACAUAAAACAAGCAGAAAUUUUGUGUAUGGGAGUGUACUGGACUAUUGAUCAACUUCGGGCUUGUACAACUUUUGUUGGACGUCUGAAAUUAUAUCUUUAGAGAUUGCUUCAAGUUAGAAUUAGUAUUCACCUACCUUCAUGCUCCAAAAGAUCUCUGCAUUGGGAAGAGAGAAUUAGUUCCUGAAGAUCUCUUCUAGCAUGUAUGAGUUACAUGCUAAAGCCCACUGGUUAGUAGUAUUUCUUCUAUAAAAGUAUGGUGGGAGUUUCCAUCUCAAAGCAGCCUCAAUUUAACAUGGGCUUCGUGGAAUCGUACAAUAUUUUGUCUCAAAAGCCCGGUCAAGGAUAGGAAAACUUGAUCUUUUGGCAAGACAAUUUGAUUUUAAGAUCAUUGAUCUUUUCCCUUCUUUGUAGCAAAAACCUAGUGUAUAUCAGAGCAUGACAUGCUAACCCCACACAUUCAAUUCAAUUUCAACCAAACUGCUUUUCUAUGUGUGAGCUUCUGCUGAGAAAAUCUCAGCUCACUAUCAAGGUUAUGCUAUGUUCAGGCCAAGCCUAGCUAGUACUUUAACAUGACCAUUGCAGAUACGACUCCCAUUUAUUUGGCCUGACAAUUCUGGGUUGACGAGAUUCUCUUUCCUUUUUUGGCUAUAACCUUAAAAAAAAUCUUGUAUGGACAGAAGAGACUUAAUAGAGAAAUUGCUUUAAUGAAAUAAAUCAACUUGACCCCACUGUAUCUCAGAAAAUAGAGUAUGUCAUCAUGAAGAAAAUAAUACGUAUAAGGUUUUCAAAUGGAUCUAGUUAUGUCAAAAUAAGAUUCUCAUUUUCUGUGAGCUUGAUUAUAUUUGCCUAAUCUUGUUUAGGUUUGCGUGGUACAACCCAAAGCAGAAAUCGAUCUUCAAUUUGAGGCCACUAAGCUGAGUACACCAUGGGGAUAUGUGAGUGCAGUAGUUUUAUGUGUCGCAACUUUUGGAACCAUUGCAUUGAUGAGCGGCUUCUUCCUUAAGCCUGGUGCUACUUUUGAUGACUACAUAGCGGACGUUGUCCCUCUUUUUAGUGGCUUUCUCUCUAUCUUAGGUGUGUCAGAGGUAUGGAAUUCAUUUCUUGCCAUUUUCUCAUCUGGUAUAUUACAUGCAUACUUAUCAACUGCUGGUCACAUCUCAUGUUCACAUUGUGGCUGUUUGUUUUUUAGUUAAAGAUGAUAUAACUAGUGUUGGUUCUGGUAUUAUUUCUGUAACUUGUUUUGAAAUACCAGAGUGCAUUCAUUUUUUUAAAUUUUGUUUCUCUCUGACAUGCCUUGAAAUUCGUGUUUUGUGUUUUCUUCAGAUAUUGCACACUUGCUCUCAGUUAUUAUGAUGUUGAAGUUGUUAUUGCAGAUUGCAACAAGGGUAACAGCAGGUCGUUAUGGUGUUAAGCUCAGUCCAUCAUUUCUUAUUCCAUCAAAUUGGACUGGCUGCCUAGGGGUAAUGAAUAACUAUGAAUCACUAUUGCCCAAUAAAAAAGCUCUCUUUGACAUUCCAGUUGCACGCACUGCGAGUGCAUAUCUGGCAUCAUUAGUGCUUGCUAUCACUGCAUUUAUAAUUGAUGGCAGUUUCAAUGGUGGGGACAAUGCUCUGUGAGUUUCCGACUCCUACAGUCAGCAAAAACUUGUAGUUUUUGAUUGAAGACCUUCACAGCAAUAUGUCUCAUGAUCUGUUUUUCUAUAUUUUUUUGCAGAUUUAUUAGGCCUCAGUUCUUCUAUAACAAUCCCCUUCUUUCUUUCGUUCAACUUGUAAUAGGACCUUAUGCAGAUGAACUAGGUAAUGUAUUACCUAAUGCUGUUGAAGGGGUUGGGGUGCCUGUUGAUCCUCUUGCUUUUGCUGGACUUUUAGGUGCGCUGGUUUAUAAUAAAUCUGUAUUUUUCUUUUUUUGGAUAUAAAUCUGGUUUAUAAUAAAUCGAUAAUUUAGUUAGUGUACAUUGAUCAUAGUUGCUUCAGGGAUGCACUUUUAAGCAUCCUUUGUGUCACUCCUUGCGUGGCUCUAAGAUAUAAGUGAUCAGAUAUAUAGACAUCUAAGUUAUUGACUUGGGGAAGAAAAAAAAACCACGGUAAAUUGUUCAUGUUCACUAAUAAGAAAAUUUUAUUGAAUACAAGUAAAGAACAAAUUGUCCUUUCUCACCAAAGCUUUAGAAUUUUCUUACAAUUUCCUUCAAUCCAUCUUCUUCCUGAUGCUUGAAGACAUGUCUGAGCUCUCUACUUACAAUCUCCUUCAAUUCAUUUUUUUCUUAAAUUUUAUUGCAGAUACUGUGGAAUGUUGAUAUAGCUUUAACAAGUGCUAGUUAUCCUGUCAAUUGUAAAGGUUCUCUUCAUAUUUAUUAGAUCACAUGCAGACAUCUUAUCAUGCCUCUGCACUGUGUGACUCUUAAAGACUUAACCGGACAGUUGAAGUCACCAAUGCAUACUUUUAUCCUGUAAUAAUUCUAUCAUGACUCUCCGUUAGUCAUCCAGCCUGAUAUUAUCAUUUAGGAUUUCUAGCAUGUUCCUUAUCCAUUGUGAAACUAGAAAUGUUUGUUCAGUUGUGAUAGCAUCAGAUGACACUGGCCAUUCUUUUUUUUUUCGGCAUGAUAUUCAGGGCCAUUUACUAUCUGCUGGUGAUCAUGCUGCAGGAAUGGUUGUGACAUCCUUGAACUUACUGCCAUGCGGAAGGCUUGAAGGAGGGCGUAUAGCGCAGGCUCUCUUCGGAAGGAACACCGCGACCCUUCUGUCUUUUGGCACAUCAUUACUUUUAGGAAUAGGUGGCCUCAGCGGUAGCGUGCUGUGUCUGGCCUGGGGCUUGUUUUCAACAUUCUUCCGUGGUGGCGAAGAGUUGCCUGCUAGGGAUGAGAUAACACCAAUGGGAGAUGACCGGUAUGCGUGGGGAUUCGUCUUGGCCUUGGUUUGCUUCCUCACCCUAUUUCCAAACGGUGGUGGCACAUUCUCAAGCUCCUUCUUCGGCCCACCAUAUUUCAGAGGUGAAAUCUAAGGCAAAACUUAACCCGAUCUUUCCAUAGCAAUCUAUAUCAUGUUUGUUGUAGAUUAACAAAAAGAGUCAUAUUUGCCCUAAAGUCCUAUCAUUAUCUUGUUGAAUGAUGUACAUGUAUGCAAUCUGAUCCAUAAAUGGUUAGCUUAAAUGACUAUUAGCUUCGUAUGUAUUUUAACACACAUUCAGCAAACUCCCCGCAAGCUUCCUCUCUAUGUAUUAUGCUUGUGGAUUAUCAUGGAAUGUCACUUCAUGGUAAGAUAUCUUCCUUGAUGUUCUCUUUCACUAUACAUAUCCAGCAUUUUAAGUAUUUUCAAAGUGAAUCUUGUUUGUUAAUUGUACACUGAGUUCCGCAUGGAUUUUCUCUCUCUCUCUCUCUCUCUCUCUAUAUAUAUAUAUAUAUAUAUAAUCUUUCCCUUUGGUUGAUUUGUGAACUUAUUUUCUAGUCUUCUUUGCAGUUGAAAAAUAGUACAUCAAGCUAUCAACUAUUUUAGAAUCAUAAAGAUUAAGGAUUCUUCCAUUUUCUUCAAAAAACUAAAAAUAAAAUUUUUAAUUAUUUAAAUUGAUUUAUAAUUUUUUUAAAAACAAUUGUAGCUUAGAAAAAAGAAGUUUAUUUUGUAGUCCAAUCUUAUAAAAGUUAUAAUAAAUGAUCAAUUAUUAGCAAGAGGAGUAUAAUUUUCACACAUACAAUUAUUAAUGAAAGCAUAAUCGACUUCAAAAGUUAUACAUGCUUUCAAAAAUAUUAUACAUAAUUUUUUUCAAAUGUUAUUUGAAGUAUAUAUAAGCAUUCAUGUAUAUUCAUCCAUCUAUGUGAUGGGUAAAAAGGUGAGUGGAUACGGCCCAUGCCAAUAAUAUGUAGGCAUAUUUUAUGUAUGUAAAUUUUAAAUAUAAUAUGUAAAUAUAUGGUAGUUGAGGUUUAUUUGUUUAUAACUACGUACAAGUGUCAAAUAUCACUGUGCAUAGAAAAAAUCAUAUAUGUUUAGUAAGUUAGCAUGUUUCAAAUUUGUUUACUAUUUUGCUAUGCUAUUAUUGACAAUAUAAAUAAAUAAAAAAGUGACAUCUUAUUUUAGUCAUGCAUAUAGGCUAUAUUGGAAACUAGAAGAAGAGUGUUACAAGUAGUGAGAUUAUAGUUAGGUAUUUUACCUAAAAAAAUUUUAAUGUUGAACUUUUAUCAAAUGAUGCUCUCUAAUUGGUUUUUAUCUAGGGGCAUUCCUUUUUCAUCAAUUUGAUAAAACUAUCCUUCGCUCUUCACCAACUAUCUCCGAUAAUCAUUGCCUCCUUAUCACCUCCGAUCGUCAUCGUUAUCAUGGUCGUUGCCACUAUCGUCACUCGUAUUCCCACCAUGAGUGGCAUUGCUCGUCUGCCUCCUCCUUUAACCCUUCUCCACCUCCCCUCUUCCGUAUCGUAGUAGUAGGUAAGUAUAGAGAUGUCUAUGAGGUAAGACGAGGAGUAUUUUUUCAUUCCCAUCCUUGUCUCAUUCUCUAUUCCCUAUCCUUACCCUAUUCUCAUUUGGAUGAGGCAGGGGUAAGGACAUGGAACCGUAUCUUUUCCAUAUUAUUUUAAUUAUAUUAUUUUAUUUUUUUAAAAAAAUAAAUUUAAUAUCAAAACUAAUUAGUAAUAUUAAAUUUAUAAAUAAUAAUUUUUAUAAUUUUAGAUGUCAUAAUAAUAUUCAAAUAUAAAUGAGUUACAAUUGUAUUAUCGUGUUGAUAUUGUUUUAUCCGGCUUAAUUGAAUCAAAUGCAAUACAAUUGACUCAACCAAGACUCAACCCAACCUGAUUCAAAUUAGGUAAGGGCUUGGCUCACCCAACGUUUGAGCCCAUUGUCUAGAUUCACAUAUUGAUAGGGCGGAAAUGGGAAUAAGAACAAGAUGAGAAUUACUUUAUCCGUCUCUGUCUCAUAAAUGUGUGGGUAAUAGAAAAUAUCUCCCAUCCUCACUUAUUUCUCUUAUCCUCGCCCCGUAGAAACUGGUCCGUAGGGGUACAUGUAUCCAUGGACAUAAUUGACACCUCUAGGUGGGAAAGUAGAGGUACAUAUUUAGGAUGCUAGUAAUAGAGAUAACCUAGAUGUAACAUAAUUAUGAUAGUCAAAGCAAUGGCAAAAUGUUUGUCACGUAUGGAGGAGCUUCACUUAAAGGAUGAUAAACAAUAGUGACGAAGGUGCCUACUCAUUUGUUUGCAUAAGCGACCUUGCUAAGGAAGGGAGACAAAGCUACCGCCUACGAGCAACAAUGCAUAAAAGUAUAUUUGCUCUACUCUAAGGAAGGGAGACAAAGCUACCGCCUGCGAGCAACAAUGCAUAAAAGUAUAUUUGCUCUACUCACCUACUCCCAUAGCAAUAAAGAAAAGCAAUCAACCAAGGAGGGGAGACGACGAGUGAUGUGGGGAAAAGAGGGUGGUGAUUAAUGGUACUCAUGGUGAGAGUAGGGGAUAGUAGAGGUGAUAGUAGUCAAGGGUGGUGGCGAUGACGAUCGAGGACAAUUGAUGAAGUGCAAAGAGUAUUUUUAUCAAAUUUAAAAAAAAGAUAUACCUUUAGGUAAAAACCAAUUAAGAAAGUUCACAAUUAGCAACCCCCUCCUUGCUACUUAUAAUCUUAUUUUUUAAAAAUUAAUAUUACUAAACUAGCCAUUCUAAAAGGACUUUAAGACCCUCUUUUCCUCCUCUUAUUCCUUCUUCCUCCUCCUCCUUUUUUUUCUUUUUCUUAUCUUUCCUCAUUUUCUUCUUCUUUAUAAGACGACGUCAAGAGGGUGACGAGCAUAAGCGAGGACGGAGAGUAUCAACAAAGAGUGACAUAAUCAAUAAGGAGCGCAGUGUUACAGGAAGAAAAAAGAGAUAAAAUCGAUAAUACUUAACAUGUAAAUAGUAAAAUAAUAUUUUAUUAAAAAAUUAAUAGUAAUGGAUUUUUAAUAAUAAAAAAGAUUAUGUAUAGUAAGCUUCCUAAUUAAGGGAGCGUCAUUUGGUAAAGAAGCUUAACAUUCAUAAUCUUUACUAUUGACCUUUAAAAAUAAUAAUAUUUUUUUAUUAUUUAUAACCCUUGUAUUACUAAUUUUAUCUUUUUUUUCGCUAUCUUUUAUUUCAUCCUCGCCACUACUUGUUAUGGUCGCUCACCCCCAACCUCUGCAACCUCUAAGGAGGAAGAAGGAAAAAGAAGAAGAAGAGAAGGAAAAAAAAAUGAUAUUUAAGUUUUAUAUGUAAAAUAAUAGUUUAUAAAUAUUAUAAAAAUUUAAAAUAUGAUUAUAAAUAGUAAAAAAUGAUUACAAAUGAUAAUAUCUUAUGAUAAAAACUUCCCUAUAUAAAAUGCCGAUUAUAGUUUCGUAUGUUAAUUUUUUUGGUCAUAUUAUUGUGUCAAUUUGAUGCACGUACAAAGUGUAUUUAAGCUUUAAACUCUAAUUCCUAAAUGGUUUGAAAUUUGACUUUAGUAAAUACCGUCGUAAUUAUGAGUCCUAUUCGAGAACUUCGCUUGCUAUCCUUCCGAUUGAUUAGAUCAAGCAUUGCACGCAUCUCAAAAGUCACGUGUCUCAGGUAUCCGUCGUUUGCUCGCAAGUGUGCGGUGCAGUUACCAGCGCCAUUAAAGUUCUACAUAAGUUCCCUUUGUUCCAAAGGAAACGCGGUGCCCUAUAAAUCGAAACGAAGGCCUCGAUCUCUCCUCUCCCCUCUCGUUUUGCGAUCGAGCUUGUCCGGAGAUAUGAAGCUUCGAAUUCGCUCCGUGGCGUCGAAGGAGACGCUGAGGAUCCAAGCCCCCGACCCCUCCUCUCUCCACGACCUCAAAACCCUCAUCGCACGCGCCCUCUCUUCCUCCUCCUCGAUCUCGAUCCCGCCGGGGUCAAUCCGCCUCUCCCUUAACCGCAAGGACGAGCUCCUUCCUCCCUCUCCCCACGACUCGCUCCACUCCCUCGGCCUCACCUCCGGCAACCUCAUCUUCUUCUACAUCGUCCCUGCCUCACAAACCCUAGCCCCGUCCCCCUCCUCGGCCCCCGCUCCGGAGGAAACCGUGGAAAGCUCGAAUCUUGCCCCAGUUCCUCCGCCAGAGACCCCCAGUGCCGUGGACGAGACACCGGUCCGCCUGCACGCUCAAACCCUAAACUUAUUAUCUUCCUCUGUCGCUACUUCAAUGGACAUUGCGGAAAGCUCGAAUCUUGCGCCGGUGUUGACGCAGGAUAACCCCAGUGCCAUAGCGUCGGAUUUGAGUGCACCUCAAGCGGAGGUGGUUCAACAAGAUGAUACACUGGCAUCGGACGCAGAGCCCGUUUUUGUGGGGAAGUCUCUGUCAGUUCCAUAUUUUCUUAAGAGGGUCAUGGAAGCCGAGAAGGGAGAAGCCGAGGGUCUUCUGGGUCGCCUGGUCGUCACCUUCCAUGCCGCUUUUCUCGAGUCCGGAUUUGUGGUCAGUGGCGGUGGAUCCCGAUUGCCCACAGGACGUCCAUCAAAAGCUGCUACUUUUUCCGUUCAAUACACUCUUCCUGAGCUCGUGGGUGCUGUCGACACAAGGGACGUCAAAGUGGCGAUGUUGAGGUUCUCGAUGAUGGGGAAUUAUGCGACUGUCUAUGGAUUUCUGACCGGAGAUCAUCAGGAUGUGUACCGAGUGUGUAUUGAUCUGUCAAAGCUGGCAUCUUUGUUAUCUUUAUCUAUGGAUUCUCUGAGCGAACAAGAGGAAAAGGAGGUUUUUGGACUAUGGAAGGUUGUGAAAGAUGAACUCACGUUGCCACUCCUUAUUGAUAUAUGCCGUAAGAAUGGGCUACCUUCUCCCACAUGCUUCAUGCGCCUUCCAGCCGAACUCCAGCUCCACAUUCUAAAGCAUGUUUCAGCCAUUGAUCUCGCAAAGAUCGGGUGCACUUGUUCUGAGUUACGUUUUCUGUCAUCAGAUGACCAUCUUUGGAAGCGGAGGUUUCAUGUGGAGAUUGGGUCGGUGAACGGGAGGCUAAUUACGGGCAGAAGCUGGAAAGAGAAGUAUGUGAAAUGCCGGGUGAGGAUGAUGGAAGCUGAGAAGAUGACAGAAAGGUCGAACCUACUCGGCAGCCCCAGUUAUUUUAACUCAGUUGGUCCCCGGAGGUUUCCUGUGCUAGGUGGAGAUUAUGACCGGUUCCAUGCCAUUGCAGGCUUUGCUCCACUGGUUCUGAGAUUAGGGUUUAACCCAGUUGGUCCCCCGAGGUUUCCUGUGCGAGGCCGAGAUUACGGCAGGUUCGCUGCAAUCGGUGGUUUUGGUCCGGCGGGUGUGCGAUUUGGAUGUCCAUGUCUAGCCCAUCGAAGAAACUUCCACUAGCGUAAUCUUGGAGGAGAAGAUGCAGGUUUCUCAGCGUGAAAUGGCUUUUACCUUAUUCCUUUCUCGGAAAGUAGAUGCACUCACAGACCCUUUGGCCACGCUUCUCCAUGCGCAGGUGGUUUUGGUGGCUACUGUUCAUAAGAUUUGAGAGAGAUGGUUCCACGUGUGUAAUCCACACGCGCUUACAUAUGGGUAGGUAGUGCACGAAUAAACUCAAACAUUUGUAUAUAUGUGAAGUCUUCGUCGUUUCGUAAAUAAUACACACAUGAAUAAACAUAUAGUUCUGCUCGAUCGAUGGAUAACCCCAUCUUCAUGGGAAGGAAUAACUAUUACAAAUAAUAUUUUGAUCGAAGCAUAUCCAGAUCAACAUGCUUUUUCUUCGAUAUGUUUUCCAUGAUGUUGGAGGGCAAUAGCGAGUGUUUGGACUGUUGACCAAAUUUCCCUAGUUAGAGAUUUAUUUAUGUUCCUUCAAUGUCUUUUUCUUGUCCAUGUCUAGUGAUAUUUAAUAAUUCUUGCUUGUGAAGAGUUCUGAAAAUUUACAUGCGGUGUUAUGGUCAUUUUUCUGCCAUUUUCUCUUCCGAUUCCUUUUGUGCAUCGCAUUUGUUUAAUCUUUCAUGGUUUUCUCUAAUUUUCUUUAAACCAAUAUAUUAUGUUCUUGUGAUGUAGAGCACGCAUGAAACCUAAAUGUUGAGUAACUUUAUAUCGUGAUUGAUGGGUCAGCAUGGGUUGAUCUGAUUCUGAGUGUGUAGAGUCGCCCAAGUGAUUGCUCGAAUAGGGUAGUCGGUGUCAGGUUAGGUCCAGGCUUCAUCUCUAUAAUUGAUCUGAGUAAAGCAAGGAGUUGCUCUUCCUCUCUCAUCGGAUUGUUGCUUCUUCGUCAUCGAGUUCCUGUACAUAAACCAAAGUCAGGAGGGAGAUUUCCCGACUCGACUUAUCCAAAGCUUAAGUCAGUGUUGAGUAGUGUUAGGGGGAGUUUGAGUGUUCGAAGUUCAACCUCUAACGCUAAUAAGGAGGUUGACUUUUAUACCUACAAACGAAGGUCGAUCGUACAUGGUUUAUUAAUGGUCGUAGACUCCUCGAGCGGCCAACUCAUACUAGUCAUAAGUGUCUUGCAAGUUAAUCACGUGAGUGAUGACACAUGUGAUAUGACAUGCAGUCUUUUCAAUUAUUAUUAUUAUUAUUUAUCACUUUAUAUUACUUGUUGCAUAAAUAUAUUGUGAUGUUCAUGGAUCUGUGCAAUAGGAAUCAGAUCGUGAUGAGAUCAUGAGACCGAUUUACCUUUAAACACAGGUCAUAAACUAGUGUUACUGUAUACUCAUCCAUAUGAUGGAGACGACUGGUUUCAAAGCUGCUCGUGUGAGGACACUAAGGAUACAAUGCAGGUGCUCAUUGGAGAAUAAAUUUACUUAUUGAUCCGCUUACUGAAUGUUGGAUGAUUAAUGAUACCUUAUUGUCAAAUAACGAUUUCGUAGACCCAAUAAUAUAUCUGGUCCUUAGACUUGAGACACUAAAGAUGUUUUGUAUGAGCACUCCACUCUUUGAUAUCAGACUUAUAGGUUUGGAAGUUUCAGAUUUAGUAUAGUUGGUCAUUGGGAGUGACAACCAACCUUACGAGGACUAUUGAAUGUCGAUAAAGGAUCAUUCACUCUCGAUAUCAUGAGAGGAAUUUCCUGUGUGUUUUUACUCAUAUAAAUCCUUGGCCAAGAUUGUUCGAAUUGAGAGAGAAUGAGUUCUACGGGAGAAUCCAAUUACGAGACUCGAGGAAAAACCGUAUUGAUCUAACAGCAUCAUGUCUGGUAUAUGAUUUUUGGAUAUUAGAUGAAUGAGGGACUAUAGGUACAUGAUAGUUGAAGACAGAUAGGUCCAAAAGAUUAGAUUCUCCUGUAUCGUCUAGGGACUACGACGUAGUGGCUUAGUACAUCCGCAAUCAAUGAGUUGAGUGAAUUAUUAUGAAGAUAAUAAUUCAUUGAUUCAAAAAGAGUUCUAAUAGAUAUAACUCACGACCAGCUCGAUAUUGGGCCUAGAAGGUCACACAUAUAUCGUAGGGGUUGCGAUGAGUAGAGGUUCGAAUAUGAGAUAUUUGUUAGAGUCCCUAUCUUAUUGGAUAUCCAAUAAGCUCGUGAAUUAUUGGAUCCUAUGGAUGAGAUCCAAUAAGAGUUAAUAAGAGAUUAUUGGGUAGAGACCCACUAAGAUGCUUGAGUAAUUGGAUGGAGAUCCUAUACCCAAUAGGGUAGGAUCCAUUUGUGUUAAUUAGGAGCCUCUAUAAAUAUAAGGGAACUAAAGGCCUAAAGGUUGGGGCUUUCUGGUUGCCACCUCUAUUUUCCUCUCCCCUUCUCCUCCUCAGAUAGUAGGUAUGUGGAUUUGAGGAGCGUUGUCAUAGUCCUGUUGUGUAGAUCACCACUAGAAAGCAGGUGGUUUUGGUGGCUACUGUUCAUAAGAUUUGAGAGAGAUGGUUCCACUUGUGUAAUACACAUGCAUAUAUAUAUAUAUAUAUAUAUAUAUAUAUAUAUAUAUAUAUAUAUAUNNNNNNNNNNNNNNNNNNNNUAUAGUUCUGCUCGAUCGAUAACCUCUUCUUCAAGGGAAGGAAUAAUUGCUACAUAUAAUACUUUGAUCGAGGGAUAUCCAAUCUGAUCAACGUGCUUUUUUUUAAUAUGUUUUUCCUGUUGUUGGAGGACAAUAGCAAGUGUUUGGACUAUUGACCAAGUUUUCCUGGUCAGAGAUUUAUUUAUGUUUCCUCAUGUCUUUUUCUUGUCCAUGUCCACCGAUAUUUAAUAAUUCUUGCUUGUGAAGAGUUUUAGAAAUUUACAUGUGGUGUUAUGGCUAUUUUUCUAUCAUUUUCUAUUUGGAUUCCUUUUGUUCAUCGUAUUUGUUUAAUCAUUCAUGGUUUUCUCUGGUUUUCUUUAAACCAAUAUAUUGUGUUCUUGUGAUAUAGAGCUCAUAUAAAACCUAAAUGUUGAGUAACUUUAUAUCGUGAUUGAUGGGUCAGCAUGGGUUGAUCUGAUUCUGAGUGUGUAGAGUCGCCCAAGUGAUUGUUUAAACAAGGUAGUCGGUGUCAGGCCGGGUCCAGGCUUCAUCUCUAUAAUCGAUCUAAGGUAAAGCAAGGAGUUGCUCUCCCUCUCUCGUUGGAUUGUUGCUUCUUCGUUGUCGAGUUCCUAUACACAAGUCAAAGUCAGGAGGGAGAUUUCCUGACUCGACGUAUCCAAAGCUUAAGUCAGUGUUGAGUAGUAUUAGGGGGAGUUUGAGUGUUCGAAGUUCAACCUUUAACACUAAUCAGGAGGUUGAAUUUUAUACCUACAAACGAAGGUCGAUCGUAUAUGGUCUAUUAAUGGUCAGCUCAUACUAGUCAUAGGUGCCUUGCAAGCGAAUCAUGUGAGUGAUGACACGUGUGACAUGACACGCAGUUUUUCGAUUAUUAAUAUUAUUAUUAUUAUGAUAAUUUAUCACUUUAUAUUGCUUGUUGCACAAAUAUAUUGUGAUGUUCAUGGAUCUGUGCAAUAGGAAUCAGAUCGUGAUGAGAUCAUGAGACCGAUUCAUCUUUAAACAUAGGCCAUAAAUAAUUUUGGUCAUAAGUUACUCGAGAGGGACAUCCAGAUAACCGGAUAAACUAGUAUACUGUAUACUCGUCCAUAUGAUGGAGACGACUAGUCUCAUAGCUGCUCGUGUGAGGACACUUAGGAUAUAAUGUAGGUGCUCAUUGGAGAAUAAGUUUACUUAUUGAUCCGCUCACUGUAUGUUGGAUGAUUAAUGAUACCUUUUUAUCAAACAUCGAUUUUGUAGUCCCAAUAAAGUAUCUGGUCCUUAGACUUGAGACACUAAGGAUGUUUUGUAUGGGUACUCCACUCUUUGAUAUCGGAAUUAUAGGUUUAAAAGUUUCAAAUUUAGUAUAGUUGGUCAUUGGGAGUAGUAGCCAACCUUACGAGGACUAUUGAGUGUCGAUAGAGGAUCAUUCGCUCUCGAUAUCAUGAGAGGAAUAUCAUGUGUGUUCUUACUCAUAUAAAUCCUUAGCCAAGAUCGUUCGAAUUGAGAGAGAAAGAGUUCUAUGGGAGAAUCCAAUUACAAUGAGACUUGAGGAAAAACCGUAUGAAUCUAACAUCAUGCUUGGUAUACGAUUUUUAGGAUAUUAGAUGGAUGAGAGACUAUAGAUACAUGAUAGCUGAAGAUAGAUAGGUCCAAAAGAUUGGAUUCUCCUAUAUCAUCUAGGGACUACGACGUAGUGGCUUAGUACGUCCGCAGUCGAUGAGUCGAAUGAAUUAUUAUGAAUAUAAUAAUUCAUUGAUUCAGAAGGAGUUCUGAUAGAUAUAACUCAUGACCAGCUCGAUAUUAGGCCUCGAAGGUCACACACAUAUAAUAAGGGUUGCGAUGAGUAGUGGUUUAAAUAUGAGAUAUUUGUUAGAGUUCCUAUCUUAUUGGAUAUCCAAUAAGCCCCUGAAUUAUUGGAUCCCAUAGAUGGGAUCCAAUAAGAGUUAAUAAAAGAGUACUGAGUAGAGACUCACUAAUCUAAGAUGCUUGAGUUAUUGGAUAGAGAUCCUAUACCCAAUAGGGUAGGAUCCAUUUGUGUUAACUAGGAGCCUCUAUAAAUAGAAGAAAACUAAAAGCCUAAAGGUUGGGGCUUUUUGGUUGCUAACUCCUAUUUUCCUCUCCCCUUCUCCUCCUCAGAUAGUAGGUAUGUGGAUUUGAGGAGCGUCGUCACAGCACUGUUGUUGUAUGGAUCGCCACUAGAAAGCAGGUAGUUUUGGUGGCUACUGUUCAUAAGAUUUGAGAGAGAUGGUUCUACACAUGUGAUACACAUGCGCUUCCAUAUGGGUAGUGUGCUAAUAAACUAAAACAUUUAUAUAUAUGAAGUCUUCAUCAUUUCGUAAAUAAUACACACACGAAUAAACAUAUAGUUCUGCUCGAUCGUAACCCCUUCUUCAUGGGAAGGAAUAACUGCUACAGAUAAUACUUUGAUCGAGGCAUAUCUAGACUAAUCAACAUGCUUUUUCUUCGAUAUGUUUUCCCUAUUGUUGGAGGGCAAUAGCAAGUGUUUGGACUGUUGACCAAAUUUUCCUGGUCAGAGAUUUAUUUAUGUUCCUUCAUGUCUUUUUCUUGUCAAUGUCUAAUGACAUUUAAUAAUUUUUUGCUUGUGAAGAGUUUUGGAAAUUUACAUGUGGUGUCAUGGCCAUUUUUCUGCCAUUUUCUCUUUGGAUUCCUUUUGUGUAUCAUAUUUGUUUAAUCAUUCAUUAUUUUCUCUGGUUUUCUUUAAUCCAAUAUAUUGUGUUCUUGUGAUGUAGAGCUCGCAUGAAAUCUAAAUAUUGAGUAACUUUAUAUCGUGAUUGAUGAGUCAGCAAGGGUUGAUCUGAUUCUGAGUGUGUAGAGUCACCCAAGUGAUUGCUUGAAUAGGGUAGUCAGUGUCAGGUCGGGUCCAGGCUUCAUCUCUAUAAUCGAUCCAUGGUAAAGCAAGGAGUUGCACUUCCUCUCUCGUCGGAUUGUUGCUUCUUCGUCGUCGAGUUCCUGUACACAAGCCAAAGUCAGGAGGGAGAUUUCCUGACUCGAUUUAUCCGAAGCUUAUGUCAGUGUUGAAUAGUGUUAGGGGGAGUUUGAGUCUUCGAAGUUCAACCUCUAAUGCUAAUCAGGAGGUUGACUUUUAUACCUACAAAUGAAGGUCGAUCGUACAUGGUCUAUUAAUGGUCGCAGGCUUCUCGAGUCAAUCAUGUGAGCGAUGACACAUAUGACAUGACACGCAAUUUUUUCGAUUAUUAUUAUUAUUAUUAUUAUUAUUAUAAUUUAUCACUUUAUAUUGCUUAUUAUAUAAAUAUAUUGUGAUGUUCAUGGAUCUAUGCAACAGGAAUCAGAUUGUGAUGAGAUCAUAUGACCAAUUCACCUUUAAACAUAGGCUAUAAAUAAUCUUGGUCAUAGGUUACUCGAGAGGGACAUCCAGAUAACUAGAUAAACUAGUGUACUGUAUACUCAUCUAUAUGAUGGAGACGACUGGUCUCAUAGCUGCUCGUGUGAGGACACUGAGGAUACAAUGUAGGUGCUCAUUGAAGAAUGAGUUUACUGAUUGAUAUGCUAAUUGAAUAUUAAAUGAUUAAUGAUACUUUAUAUUCAAACAGCGAUUCCGUAGUCCCAAUAAUGUAUCUGGUCCUUAGACUUGAGACACUGAGGAUGGUUUGUAUGAGUACUCCACUCUUUGAUAUCAGACUUGUAGAUUUAGAAGUUUCAGAUUUAGUAUAGUUGGUCAUUGGGAGUGGCAGCCAACCUUACGAGGGCUACUGAGUAUCGAUAGAGGAUCAUUCUCUCUCGAUAUCAUAAGAGGAAUAUCCCGUGUGUUCUUACUCAUAUAAAUCUUUGGCCAAGAUCGUUCGAAUUGAGAGAAAAAUAGUUCUACGGGAGAAUCCAAUUAUAACGAGACUCAAGCAAAAACAGUAUGGAUCUAACAACAUCAUGCCUGGUAUACAAUUUUUGGGAUAUUAGAUGAAUGAUGGACUAUAGAUAUAUGAUAGCUGAAGAUAGAUAGGUUCAAAAGAUUGGAUUCUCCUAUAUCGUCUAGGGACUACGACGUAGUGGCUUAGUACGUCCGUAGUCGAUGAGUCAAGUGAAUUAUUAUGAAGAUAAUAAUUCAUUGAUUCAGAAGGAGUUCUAAUAGAUAUAACUCACGACUAGCUCGAUAUUAGGCCUAGAAGGUCACACACAUAUAGUAGGGGUUGCGAUGAGUAGUGGUUCGAAUAUGAGAUAUUUGUUGGAGUCUCUAUCUUAUUGGAUAUCCAAUAAGCCCAUGAAUUAUUGGAUCACAUAGAUGAGAUCCAAUAAGAGUUAAUAAGAGAUUAUUGGAUAGAAACUCACUAAUAUAAGAUGCUUGGGUAAUUGGAUGGAUAUCCUAUACCCAAUAAGGCAGGAUCCAUUUAUGUUAACUGGGAGCCUCUAUAAAUAGGAGGGAACUAAAGGCCUAUUUUCCUCUGGUUGCUGGGGCUUUCUGGUUGCCACCUCCUAUUUUUCUCUCCCCUUCUCCUCCUCGGAUAGUAGGUAUGUGGAUUUGAGGAGCGUCGUCACAGCCCUUUUGUGUGGAUUAUCACUAGAAAGGAGGACGCUUGACCUCAUUCAUCAUCUCCCACAGAUAUGUAGGAUUUCAGAGAUCUACGAUAUCCCUAGAUAAAACACUAUCUUACACGUUGAUUUAAGUUUCGCGGGUUUUUUCACAUAAAUCUUCGCACGACGACGAAUACUUUUUGGAAAAUUUAGGAUUUUGUUUUAUGUUCUUUUAUUGCGCAUGUGAUAUCGCCCCUAGAUUUCUCUAGAGCUCAUACCUUUCGUGUGGGUGUCGAUCGACUUGUACGGAUUCAUGCUACAUGAUAUCGUUCUGAGCUUUUCGGAGUGGCUUUGUAUUAUCCGUCGCCGUCUUGUAUAACUUCAGAUAGGGCGGGAGCGGGCAAUUGUCCUGUCCGAGUUCGAGGUGUCGCAUCGAUGCAAUGCAUCAAGUCAUUCCUGAGGCUCCAUAUUUAUAUUUUCGUAAUUGCUAAUUGUUAUCGAGAGGAUGAUACCAAAAUAUGUCAUAUUACUAAUCUUCUGUUUUAUAUUUUGAUGGUAUAUUCUUUGUCAUUUUGUCUUCGAGGUGGUUGGAUGAAGAUUUAUCAAUUAAGUAAUUUCAAUUUUAAAUGGGUUACAACUGUGUUUUUUGUAUGAAGUACGUGUGAACAUAGAAAAAUCAUAUAUAUUUCUGCCUUAAUUCUCUUAUAAUUAAUAUAUUAUGUGAUCCUAUUAAAUUAAUUAAAAUAUAUUAUAAUUUUAAUUAGAUUUUAAUUAUAAUUAUAAAUUAAUAAAAUUUUAUUUAUGAUAAGAUUUAUUAAUAGAUAUCUUGAUGGGAGAAACUCUUUCAAUCAUUUAUUUUAUAUUUUAUAUUUUUAUCUAUAACUAAAAAAAAUUACGAACUAAACAUGAUAUGACACAAGACUAUUGAUUUAUUCUUGUCUCUAUUUUAUUAUUCAUAAUGAUUUUGUGAAGAUUCAAAGAAAGGAGAAGACGAGUCUUGUUCAUUUUGUAGAUUGAUAUUUUUAUUUUAUACGAAUUAAACAUGAAAUACAUUCUACGAAUCAAAUAAAAGCAUUACAUCUAAAGAUAUCAAUAUAUUAUUAUUUAAUUUUAGAUCUUGAUAUUAAAUUGAUUUAAUAUAAUAAUAUAAUUAUAAUUUUAUGUUGACAGAAAGUUCUACAAUUUAUCUUCCUUAUUCUUAUAAAGUAAAUGCUUAUUGGUCCUAUCCUAUAUUAUCGAGUUAGUUAGGUUCCUUGUAUCUAUUCGAGUAGUAUGAGAACGAUAGUAUAGAAGUAUGACUCGAUUUAGUUACUUUUGUUUGUAAUUUGCACAUCUUAUUUAUAGGGAGGAGUAAUCUUUGAUCAAUGAUCCUCUCAAGUAAUUAUCCUAUGAAGGCCAUCAUAGAGCGAUGAAGUACAUGUAGGAAACUAUACUCUUUUGGAGGUCAUACGCAGAGGAGAAGGCUAUUCUAUUUCUCUGAACACUUUUAUUUGGUUAAUUUGUAGCACAAUCAAGCUGUUGCAGAUUGCAUAUGUUUUGAAGUCAUUUUUGCAAUAGUUUCAAGCGUUUGCAGUUGAUCCACUUACCGAGCAUUGAAUAAUAAAAUAUGUAAUAUAUUGUAUUAAAUACGAAAAUAAUUUUUUGUGUCAGGAUUGAAAUCAAAUAAUUAGAUAUGAUUUAACGAUACUUACCUUCUGAUGUCAUCUAAAAAGAGAUCUCUGUUUGAUCUGUAAAAAUACUCCUUCUCAAUUUGCAAGAGGAACUAUAUCAUUCUCCUCUCUUCCUAUCUUUUCAGCAAAAUUAAAGGAAAGACUAUAAUUCAUCAAUUGAGAUAAUCUCUCUCUAUUCCUCUCUAUUCCUUUUAUUUCUUUUUUGUUACUUUCUUAUAUUCAAGGUCGUGUCUAUAUAUAGACGAUGAGUUAUUAGUUCCUCUCAUUAAGAUUAUUAUCUCCUAAGGAAUCCUAUUUUAAAUGAUUUUUUUUUAUUAAUCAAUAUAUUUCAUUAGAAUCUAAUUAGUUAUAUUAUAUAUAUCUUAUCUAAUGAUAAAGGAUCAUAAAAUCUAACACAAUAUCUUCUUCAUCUGCGUUCUUUAGCCCUUCUGCAUCAGAUUUAGCUUUAAUAUGCUGUUUUAUUUUGUGCUUUCUUUAGCCCUUCUGUUGUUGCUUUCAAUGUAAACACUUCCAUCAGUCAAUCGAAUAAGACUAGGAUUAAUUUAUAUGAAUGUAUCAUUAUUAAUGCAUUCAAUUAUUAAUAAAGUAGUGAGAUUAUAAUUUUAUGUUUAUCUCUUUUUUUUUUCUUCAUAUUAUUGGGUCAAUUUAAUGCACGUACGAAACAUAUAUAAGCUAUAGAUUCUAAUUACUAAAUAGUUUGAAAUUUGAAUGUAGUAAAUCCAGUUAUAAUUCCUAUUCGAGAACUUGUAAUGUUUCCGAUUCCUUAGAUCAAGCAUUGCACGCAUCUCAAGUGCCACGUGUCUCAGGUAUCCAUCGUUCGCUCCAUACGUGUGCGGUGCAGUUGCCAGCACCAUUAAGGUCCAUUGUAUGUUUCCUUUGACGCGAAGGAAACGCCGUGCACUCUAAAUCGAAAGGAAGGCCUCUCGAUCCCUCCUCUCCUCUCCUCUCCACUUCUCUCCCCUCUGCGAUCGAGCUUGUCCGGAGAUAUGAAGCUUCGAAUUCGCUCCGUGGCGUCGAAGGAGACGCUGAGGAUCCAAGCCCCCGACCCCUCCUCUCUCCACGACCUCAAAACCCUCAUCGCACUUGCCCUCUCUUCCUCCUCCUCGAUCUCGAUCCCGCCGGGGUCAAUCCGCCUCUCCCUUAACCGCAAGGAUGAGCUCCUUCCUUCCUCUCCCCAGGACUCGCUCCACUCCCUCGGCCUCACCGCCGGAGAUCUUAUCUUCUUCUCUAUCGUCCCUGACUCCCAAACCCUAGCCCCGUCCCCCUCCUCGGCCCCCGCUCCGGAGGAAACCGUGGAAAGCUCGAAUCUUGCCCCAGUUCCUCCGCCAGAGACCCCCAGUGCCGUGGAUGAUACGCCGUUCGGCCUGAG